rnacentral:lncRNA from 1 species
GGAUUAUAUAAAUAGGUAGGCUGGGGAACAAACCAAGACCAUCCCUUAUGUGGGAACUUAGCUUACAGAUGGUGUUAAUCCAGUGAGUCUGGGUCUUCCAGAGUCAUACUCAGAACUUUAGAGGAUAUCUUGGCCAUUCCUUUUUUUAGGCUGCAGUGAAUCUGAGGCAAAGGAGAAAGCAGCUUGCCUAAAGUCAUAGAAAGUUGGCAGUCAUAGCCAAAUUGCUUGGCUCUCAAGCUCAGUGCUUUUCCAUGGUAGCCUGUCAACUCCUUUGAACAAGAAUGAGUAUCAAGGUUUGGGAACCCAUCACCUUGUUACUUGAAGGGCAACGCAAGGUCCCAUCUCCCCUGUAUACUAUCCACCCCUAACCUCCAACUGAGGCAUCCUCUCUUUUGCCUGGGAUGCAGAUUUUAGAUAAAUUUCAGGUUUGGACAAUGGGUAAAUGCUGAUACUGGGUUUCCUCAAUAUGAAUAAGUUGGCUAAAUUAACAUGUCGGAGCCUUGGACCGUGGGAAGCCCAGUGAGUUGGAGGCUGCAGAACCAGUGAGGACUGGAGGACAUAGAAUGGUGGUGGCAAGUGACAGCAGAGGACUUCACGUUAGAUUUGAUUCCCUAGGCUAAAAGGAAACAUUGCACAGGAGCGGCAGGGCAGGAAGCAUGCUUUAUGAAGAUUUACCCGGCAGCAGUGCUUUCUCAUACAUCAUGUCAUCUGAGCCUCACGACAACCCUGGAGGAGGAAGUGCAGCAGACCUUACUGACCUUCACACAAUGAGGACACAAUGAAGACUUGGAUGAAUAAAAGGGUGAAGCCAGAAUUUGUCCAUGACUCUCAAUUGCCACUUUGUUUUCAAUGAACAUUGUUGACUGGCAACAGGCUUGACCGAAUUGAGUCUUGCCUCCCGUCCAACAGGUCCUGCCUCCAUUUUAUCCUUCUUUUGUCUCCCUCAA